rnacentral:rRNA from 1 species
AACGGAGGGGUCAAGUGUAAUUCUAAUUGAAUGGGUGUAUGGGGUACGUAGACGGUUCUUUAAGUCGAGCUAUACAAAUAACGCCCUGGGGUCCGAAAGUAUUCUCGAAACUGGUGUAACUAGAGAUAAUCACGAUGUUUAGGGUACGCCAGACGUAUGGGUGGAAUGACUCGAUUACUGGAGGACCAACAAUUAAGCGCAAGCGCUAAACAAGGCUUAUCUGACGUUGAGGUACGAAAGCAUGGGGAUCAAACAGG